GAUGAACGCUGGCGGCGUGCUUAACACAUGCAAGUCGAACGGUGAAGCAGGAGCUUGCUCUUGUGGAUCAGUGGCGAACGGGUGAGUAACACGUGAGCAACCUGCCCCUGACUCUGGGAUAAGCGCUGGAAACGGCGUCUAAUACUGGAUAUGUGAUGUGACCGCAUGGUCUGCAUCUGGAAAGAAUUUCGGUUGGGGAUGGGCUCGCGGCCUAUCAGCUUGUUGGUGAGGUAAUGGCUCACCAAGGCGUCGACGGGUAGCCGGCCUGAGAGGGUGACCGGCCAAACGGGGGCUGAGACACGGCCCAGACUCCUACGGGAGGCAGCAGGGGGGAAUAGUGCACAAUGGGCGGAAGCCUGAUGCAGCAACGCAGCGUGAGGGAUGACGGCCUUCGGGUUGUAAACCUCUUUUAGCAGGGAAGAAGCGAAAGUGACGGUACCUGCAGAAAAAGCACCGGCUAACUACGUGCCAGCCGCCGCCGUAA
rnacentral:rRNA from 1 species